rnacentral:rRNA from 1 species
AUUGAACGCUGGCGGCGUGCUUAACACAUGCAAGUCGAACGCGAAAGGGACUUCGGUCCUGAGUAAAGUGGCGCACGGGUGAGUAACGCGUGGAUAAUCUGCCCUUAUGAUUGGAAUAACAGUUGGAAACGGCUGCUAAUACCGGAUACGCUCAAAAUGAACUUUUUGAGGAAAGAUGGCCUCUGCUUGCAUGCUAUCGCAUAAGGAUGAGUCCGCGUCCCAUUAGCUUGUUGGCGGGGUAACGGCCCACCAAGGCAACGAUGGGUAGCCGAUUUGAGAGGAUGAUCGGCCACACUGGAACUGAAACACGGUCCAGACUCCUACGGGAGGCAGCAGUGGGAAUAUUGCGCAAUGGGCGAAAGCCUGACGCAGCGACGCCGCGUGAGGGAUGAAGGUUUCGGAUCGUAAACCCCUGUCAGAAGGGAAGAAACUACGUGUGCUAAUCAGCAGCGUACUGACGGUA